rnacentral:rRNA from 1 species
AUUGAACGCUGGCGGCAGGCCUAACACAUGCAAGUCGAGCGGAUGAAGGGAGCUUGCUCCUGGAUUCAGCGGCGGACGGGUGAGUAAUGCCUAGGAAUCUGCCUGGUAGUGUGGUAUAACGUCCUGAAACGGGCGCUAAUACCGCAUACGUCCUGAGGGAGAAAGUGGGGGAUCUUCGGACCUCACGCUAUCAGAUGAUCCUAGGUCGGAUUAGCUAGUUGGUGGGGUAAAGGCCUACCAAGGCGACGAUCCGUAACUGGUCUGAGAGGAUGAUCAGUCACACUGGAACUGAGACACGGUCCAGACUACUACGGGAGGCAGCAGUGGGGAAUAUUGGACAAUGGGCGAAAGCAUGAUCCAGCCAUGCCGCGUGUGUGAAGAAGGUCUUCGGAUUGUAAAGCACUUUAAGUUGGGAGGAAGGGAAGUAAGUUAAUACCUUGCUGUUUUGACGUUACCAACAGAAUAAGCACCGGCUAACUUCGUG